rnacentral:rRNA from 1 species
GUAAUGGCCUACCAAGGCGACGACGGGUAGCCGACCUGAGAGGGUGACCGGCCACACUGGGACUGAGACACGGCCCAGACUCCUACGGGAGGCAGCAGUGGGGAAUAUUGCACAAUGGGCGCAAGCCUGAUGCAGCGACGCCGCGUGGGGGAUGACGGCCUUCGGGUUGUAAACCUCUUUCAGUACAGACGAAGCGCAAGUGACGGUAUGUACAGAAGAAGCACCGGCCAACUACGUGCCAGCAGCCGCGGUAAUACGUAGGGUGCGAGCGUUGUCCGGAAUUACUGGGCGUAAAGAGUUCGUAGGCGGUUUGUCGCGUUGUUCGUGAAAACCUGAGGCUUAACCUUGGGCGUGCGGGCGAUACGGGCAGACUGGAGUACUGCAGGGGAGACUGGAAUUCCUGGUGUAGCGGUGAAAUGCGCAGAUAUCAGGAGGAACACCGGUGGCGAAGGCGGGUCUCUGGGAAACAACUGACGCUGAGGAACGAAAGCGUGGGUAGCAAACAGGAUUAGAUACCCUGGUAGUCCACGCCGUAAACGGUGGGCGCUAGG